rnacentral:rRNA from 1 species
UGGGGAAUAUUGGACAAUGGGCGCAAGCCUGAUCCAGCCAUGCCGCGUGUGUGAAGAAGGCCUUAGGGUUGUAAAGCACUUUCAGUGGGGAGAAAGGUCAUUCACCUAAUACGUGAGUGAAUUGAUGUUACCCACAGAAGAAGCACCGGCUAACUCCGUGCCAGCAGCCGCGGUAAUACGGAGGGUGCAAGCGUUAAUCGGAAUUACUGGGCGUAAAGCGCACGUAGGUGGUUUGUUAAGCUAGCUGUGAAAUCCCCGGGCUCAACCUGGGCACUGCAGUUAGAACUGGCAAGCUAGAGUAGGGUAGAGGGGUGUGGAAUUCCAGGUGUAGCGGUGAAAUGCGUAGAUAUCUGGAGGAACAUCAGUGGCGAAGGCGACACCCUGGACUCAUACUGACACUGAGGUGCGAAAGCGUGGGGAGCAAACA